GAGGCCUCUGGGAGCGAUUGUGCUAGUUCAUCCAUGCUGCAAAUCUAUGGAGGUCAAAUGAAACUACAUCACAUCAGUGAUUGUUCCUUAAAGCCUCAAGCUGAAAAGCAGCCGGUCAAGGGAAGACAGCAACAGAGAAAAGGCAGAACACAUCAUGGUUAAUUUGAAUGAGUCGUCACUGAACACCACAAGAACAACUGCCUGCUCCUCCAUUGAGAUGCAAUGAUUCCUUCCCUGUGACUCUGCUGCAAUGAAGCCUGUAGUCCUAUGGUUAUAACAGAUCUUUGUGCUUUCUGCUGGUGAGGAUUCCAGCUCCCUUGUGGAAAAAGAAAAAGAAGUGGUCUUCUAGUACUGAAAGAAGCAUUCCCAAACAAUCCCACCAUGGUUAACUCCUGGCUCUGCUCUGGAAAAUGAAGGUAAAGAACAACCUGUAUCUGUAUGCAUGCAUCAUAUAGAAGAGUCUAGCAGACAAUGUAAGGAAAACAUUUAACUAUACAAAGGAUGUUGUCUUACUGUCUGAAAUGUCUCUGAUUUUAAUGUGUCACUGUCUAAGAUGUCUCUGAUUUUAGUAUCUCACUCUCUGAAAUGUCUGAUUUUAGUAUCUCACUGUCUGAAAUGUCCCUGAUUUUAGUUGCUGGACGUUAAGCAACCAA